UUACGGCCAAAUCACGUUCAAACACCAGUUCCCGUGCGGCCAGCGAUGUUAAGAAAUGUCAGGUCUGGCCAGUACCUAGAUGGGUAACCGCUUGGGAAUAUCAGGUG